rnacentral:ncRNA from 1 species
AGCAACGCGAUGAAGGAGCCAAACAUCAAUGGUGAACUCUCAGAGAGCCGAUGGUUGCUGUGAAUCGGCAGUUUGCCUGAUGUGGAGCACUCCCGAGUGGCUGAUUGAACCGCUAAGAAGUAGAUCAGCACGGUUGACCCGUUAUCCACUAGAGUCGAUAUGGCAGAUCAUGCCCAUCGACUCGCCAAGGCUGUCAGCGCGAGCCGACAGCGAAUGAGGGUGGCACCACGUACCCCACGUCCCUCUG